UCUCACUCUGUAUCUGAGGCCAGAGUGUGGCAGCCUGUAACUCCUGAAGCGAUCCUCCUCUCUCUCAGCCUCCCAAAGCACUGGAAUUACAGGUCCUGGCAGGAGCUCUGGUAUCUGGGAAGCUGGAUAGAGAGCCUGGGCUGGAGCCCACCCUCUGCAACCUAGCUUUGUGAACUUGGCAAAUCCAUUCUAUGCGCCUCUGUUUUCUGUACAGUGGGGACCUGAUUUAUCUGGCAACCUCCACCAGAUUGGUAAUUUUACUGUAAAGCCCAGUACCAUUUUA